ensembl:rRNA 5S_rRNA 5S ribosomal RNA
UACAGCCAUACCACCCUGAACACGCCCGAUCUCAUCUGAUCUCGGAAGCUAAGCAGGGUCGGGCCCGGUUAGUACUUGGAUAGAAGAAGUAAUGAGCUAAGAUCAGGUUAUAUCUGAUU